ACGGAGGCUUUCGAGGGGGCCCCUUUGAAUGACCGUAAUGAAGAUUCUCCUGCGUGCCGUUAUAUUCCACAUCUUCAUUGGCAGCCUUUAUGGCUACACCCAGAAACUGACUGCUGGCAGAGGAACUUUGGGAGAACUUAUCAAAGCACUCAACACCACAGAACCAAUCUGGUUGAUUAAACGCACCUAC
rnacentral:lncRNA from 1 species